rnacentral:lncRNA from 1 species
CUCCUGCCUCAGCCACCCGAGUAGCUAGGACUACAGGCAUGUGCCACCACGCUCAGCUACUUUUGUUUUUUGUUUGUUUGUUUGUUUGUUUUAGUAGAGAUGGGGUUUCACUUUGUUGGUUAGGCUGGUCUUGAACCCCUGACCUCAGGUGAUCCGCCCACCUAGGCCCCCCAAAGUAUUGGGAUUACAGGAGUGAACCACUGCGCCCGGCCUCGAAUGUGAGUGCGUUAAAACCCAGAUCGGGUCUGAUUGGGGUUGGCACCCAGGUGGCUCCAUAAUUGUUGCUGUCCUGAAUUAUUGCCCUCUUUGCUACUUGGACCGAACCCCAUCUUGGGACCACCGACUUCCUCUGACUCCUGGUCAGGCUCCUGGGCGGCAAAUCCUGGCCCCUGGUAUGGUCCCGCCUGCCUCUCUGUCCCCUUGUCUACCUGACCAGACCUCUGAACUUCAAGGCCUGGAUGCCCUGUCUCUCCUCCUGUGAGGCUCUGUCCUACCUCAUGUUGGGACCUAGGGCGCUCUGUUGUACAACUCCAGGGAGCACCAUUGUGUCUUCUGUAAAUGGCAGCUCCUGGAACACAGUGAGCCCUCAAUAGGGCAUGUCAGCUGUGGGCUCAGACAUCCUUUGGGUCUGGCAGUGCUCCAUUUCAUGUGCCCUGUCACCCUCACCCCUCUUUUUCCAUCCCACUUCUCCUAGCUGGACCAAGCUAGGCGUCAUCUACAAGCCCGGUGUGCUGACCAGGGAAUGUGUGGGGCUUGGGGCAUGGGGACAAUAAAUAACAUCACUUUUCUCAUUUCCCAGGCAGGUAACCAAUUGAAAGAUAAGAUACCAUAGACAGACAUCAACUUUAUUCCUGACUAAAGCUCAAAAGAAGGGCGUGGCGUAGAUUUACAGUGACCAUCCUAACACUCACGCGCAGAGUCACACGGUCCCACACUGGGCUGGACCAGCCCUGCUAAGCCCACAAGAGGUGGGGAGAACAGCAGCCGCUUCCUCUUUGUGGGGCCCAGGCCUGAGCUUCCCUCCGUUCCUGCCCCGGAUCUGACCACUGGGAUUGUGGGAGAGGGUGUCAAAGGACAGUUUUCUCCCAUAGUUUUCCCUUCCAGGGAGAAGAGUGGAAAUCCCCUCAUCUCAAAGGCAACAUGAGAUUGGAGAAUGUACUCUCAAAUCCCCAAACAGCAACAGAAUUGUUCUGCUUGCUUCAGAGCAGAGGCUCCGCAGCCCUUUCCAGACCUCUCCCAAGCGUGGAAAUGGACGAAGGGCUGGAUGGGGCUCAGAGGGGAGGUCAGGCGGGACUCCCUCAGACAGCAGCUGGGGUUCCUCUGUUCCAGGCCCAGCUCUCACUGAAACAGGAGAGGGUGUGAAGGAAUGGAUUUGGAACUGUCAAGAACUCCUUCCUUAGUGGGCAGUGGAGGUAAUGCAGGGUUCAGACCAUCUGUGCCCUGGACAGAGGCCUCUUUCUUCCCCAGGAAUGCUAAGCACAUGGGCAUCCUGAUACCUCAACUCCUCCAGUCCCAAAUACUCUGCCUGUUUGUCCCCUUUGUCCUGAGCCACCCCGUAGGACCUGCAGGUCAGGCACUGACUUCAUGUCAGGUCCCCGAAGCAGUUUUGUUCUCUCAGCAGUGUCCACUGGCCUGCAGCCAGGCACCUCUCUCCCCCAGCCUGGGUCACUGGCAAGGGAGCAAGAAGAGUUCUGGGCUCACAGCAGGCAGUGGAGUGUAGUCACAGAGCCUGAUCCGGCUUGAAAUCCCAGAUCCUUUGCUUACUAGGCUGUGUGGCCUUAGAUCAAAAGCUGAGUGAAGCAGUGGUCCAGCUGGAAUUCAACACCUGAGAUAUCUGACUCCAGAUACCAGCCCUUCCUUGCUUCCCACUAGCUGCCUAACCCAGAGAGGAGAUUGGGAAAAGAGAAACAAGUUACAGAAUUCAAGAGCUUUAUGACUGAAGAGUCCCUUUGGCCCCUUAACUCCACAAGGCUGACCCUGGUGAUCAGCAGCUGAGAUCUACAUGAUACAGUCCAGACACCAGAAGGAGACUGAAUCUCUCUCCCAAAUCUCAGCUCUAAAAUUCCCAAGAGAGGGCCUCAUGGGUCCAGGCAGUGUCUGGUGUCCGUCCUGCAAUGGCCAGGAGCCAGGUUUUCUUGUAGGAGUGUGACAGCUCCUCCUGCAGUCGGGGAUCCUGGAUGGGGCUGAGGAGAAGUUCCAAGGCAAGGAGGAUUGGCAUCUGCUCCAUAAGUGCAUUCUUCUCUUUGCACUUGAUCUUUUAUCUACCUCAUAGAUAGAUCCUUCUUGCUCACACUUUCAGCCUGUCCUUUUUUUUUUUUUUUUUUUUUUUUGAGACAGGGUCUCGCUCUGUCACUCAAGCUGGAGUGCAGUGGCAUGAACUUGGCUCACUGCAGCCUCCACCUCCCAAGUUCAAGUGAUUCUCCUGCCUCAGCCUCCCAGGUAGCUGGGAUUACAGGCGUGUGCCACCACACCUGGUUAAUUUUUUUGUAUUUUUAGUAGAGAUAGGGUUUCACCAUGUUGACCAGGCUGGUCUUCAACUCCUGACCUCCCCAGUGAUCCACCCACCUAGGUCUCCCAAAGUGCUGGGAUUACAGGCAUGAGCCACUGUGCCCAGCGCUUUCAGCCAGUUUGACCUCUACUCAUGCAAAUUUUACCUUUCCCUUUAUGCCUCACUCCACCUCACGGCUUCACUCUCUUCUCCCUGAUCGCACCCCACUGUGACUGCCUGAAAUGCCACAUGUUUCUUCAUUCAGAUUUCUCAGAUAAUUCAAUGGUUCCACCCAUAAUUCCACACCUGGCCACUUCAUAGACAAUGACUCACUUAAGGACAGGCUGCCUCAGGGUGCACAGCCUGUAUUCAGGAAUCUGCUAGAGCAACACAUAGCUGUACCUUCUGCAAGGCUGUGGGCUGGAUGACUCCACUGUGGGCGUGGAACACGGGCUGGUGUCAUAAGGAGACAUUCUUUAUGCCUUAGGCAUUGAAAGGAUACUCCUUCCAAAAGGCCUUUCCCAGCGUUUCCCCCUGAAAUCCACUAACCAUAGCAUUUCACUGUUGACACUGCCAUAUAGUGCUAAGUGCAGUUGUCUAACUCCUACUGCCACAGAGAUUCAAGUGUACAAUGGCUUACACGUGUGAGAAGAUUAUUUCUUGUUCAGAUAUCAAAUGCAGAAUAAGCAGUCCAGAGAGGAGAUGACAGCUUUAUGGUGUUGGGGACCUAUGCUCCUUCUGACUUGCUGUUCUAUCAUCCCUUGGACGGUGGCCUCAUCUCCUUGGAUCCAGAUGGAUCACUACCACAUUCCAGCCAGUGGGAAGGGGGAAAUGCAUUUCCUUUUCCUUUAAAUGCGGGAGCCAGAGUUUGCACACCUCACUUCACUCACACCUUGCCAGCCAGAACGUAGUUACAGGGUCACAUCAAGCUUGAAGGAGAGCUGGCAAAUGAAGUCUAUUUUGGGUGGCCAUGUGCCCAGCUAAAAGUUGGGAAUUCUAUUAUUAAAGAGGAAGAGGAAGAGAAGAAUGCAUAUCCCACCAUUCUGUCACCGUUUUUGACUGCUCUCCACUCACUAUCCAGUCUGUCACAUGCUGGCACAUCCCAUUCCUGAUGCCUUUCCUAUGGGGCUCUAUUCUUCAUCCCCACCAAUACCACCAUGCAUUGGGCCCUUCCUGCUUUAUACCCACUGUCUCAUUAGAACGUCCUAGCUGAUCCCUUUGCUUUCAGUCACCUUCUGUGAUCAUUCUAUUAAUAAAUAGCAAAUCUGAUCAUAUGCCCCUAUUGUUUAGAAAUCAAUGGCUCCCCACUGCCCAUAGCAGUAAGAUUUUGAAUCCUUUUUUUUUUGAGACAGGGUCUCAUUCUGUCACCUAGCCUGGAGUGUAGUGGUGAGAUCACAGUCAUUGCAGCCUUGACCUCCUGGGCUCAAGUGAUCUCCCCACCUUAGCCUCCCAAGUAGCUGAGACUACAGGCACACAUCACAACGCCUGGCUAGUUAUUAAUUUUUUUUUUUUUGUAGAGAUGGGAUGUCACUAUGUUGCCCAGGCUGGGCUCAAGUGAUCCUCCUGCUUCAGCCUCUCAAAGUGUUGGGAUUACAGGUGUGAGCAACUGCAUUCAGCUGAGUGCAGAUUUUUGAAUCCCUGAAGUUGUAUGCAAAUUUUGCCU